GACUUGGGUGUUGCUGCUUUACUGUGGCUCGCCUCAAAUGGAGUAGUGCAACUCUUGGUUGGACAUAGUACGGCGUGAUAAGUGUCUUCGCCGGCGCCUCAUUAGAGGGUGGCCAAUUGGGAGCUCUGUGCUUCUAACCGUCUUCGGACAAUAUCUGACAACUUGACCUCAAAUCGAGUAGGACUACCCGCUGAACUUAA
rnacentral:misc_RNA from 1 species